GUGGGGAAUAUUGGACAAUGGGCGCAAGCCUGAUCCAGCCAUGCCGCGUGAGUGAUGAAGGCCUUAGGGUUGUAAAGCUCUUUUGUCCGGGAAGAUAAUGACUGUACCGGAAGAAUAAGCCCCGGCUAACUUCGUGUCAGCAGCCGCGGUAAUACGAAGGGGGCUAGCGUUGCUCGGAAUCACUGGGCGUAAAGGGCGCGUAGGCGGACUCUUAAGUCGGGGGUGAAAGCCCAGGGCUCAACCCUGGAAUAGCCUUCGAUACUGAGAGUCUUGAGUUCGGAAGAGGUUGGUGGAAUUGCGAGUGUAGAGGUGAAAUUCGUAGAUAUUCGCAAGAACACCAGUGGCGAAGGCGGCCAACUGGUCCGAUACUGACGCUGAGGCGCGAAAGCGUGGGGAGCAAACAGGAUUAGAUACCCUGGUAGUCC
rnacentral:rRNA from 1 species